rnacentral:rRNA from 1 species
GAAUAUUGGACAAUGGGCGAAAGCCUGAUCCAGCAACGCCGCGUGAGGGAUGACGGCCUUCGGGUUGUAAACCUCUUUCGGUAGGGACGAAGCGCGAGUGACGGUACCUACUAAAGAAGCACCGGCCAACUACGUGCCAGCAGCCGCGGUAAUACGUAGGGUGCGAGCGUUGUCCGGAAUUAUUGGGCGUAAAGAGCUCGUAGGCGGCUCAGUAAGUCGGAUGUGAAAACUCGGGGCUCAACCCCGAGACGCCAUCCGAUACUGCUGUGGCUUGAGUCUGGUAGGGGAACACGGAAUUCCUGGUGUAGCGGUGAAAUGCGCAGAUAUCAGGAGGAACACCGAUGGCGAAGGCAGUGUUCUGGGCCAGUACUGACGCUGAGGAGCGAAAGCGUGGGUAGCAAAC